rnacentral:rRNA from 1 species
ACGUAGGGGGCGAGCGUUAUCCGGAUUUAUUGGGCGUAAAGCGUGUGUAGGCAGUUUAUUAAGUUUAAGAUUAAAGCCCGGGGCUCAACUCCGGUAAGUCUUAAAAACUGGUAGACUUGAGUACGGUAGAGGCAAACGGAAUUUCUAGUGUAGCGGUGAAAUGCGUAGAUAUUAGAAGGAACACCAGUGGCGAAAGCGGUUUGCUGGGCCGUUACUGACGCUGAGGCACGAAAGCGUGGGGAGCAAAUAG